rnacentral:rRNA from 1 species
AUUGAACGCUGGCGGCAGGCUUAACACAUGCAAGUCGAGCGGAGUGAUGGUGCUUGCACUAUUACUUAGCGGCGGACGGGUGAGUAAUGCUUAGGAAUCUGCCAUUUAGUGGGGGACAACAUUCCGAAAGGAAUGCUAAUACCGCAUACGUCCUACGGGAGAAAGCAGGGGAUCUUCGGACCUUGCGCUAAAUGAUGAGCCUAAGUCGGAUUAGCUAGUUGGUGGGGUAAAGGCCUACCAAGGCGACGAUCUGUAGCGGGUCUGAGAGGAUGAUCCGCCACACUGGGACUGAGACACGGCCCAGACUCCUACGGGAGGCAGCAGUGGGGAAUAUGGGACAAUGGGCGGAAGCCUGAUCCAGCCAUGCCGCGUGUGUGAAGAAGGCCUUUUGGUUGUAAAGCACUUUAAGCGAGGAGGAGGCUCUCCUAGUUAAUACCUAGGAAGAGUGGACGUUACUCGCAGAAUAAGCACCGGCUAACUCUGUGCCAGCCGCCGCAGUAAUAC